rfam:Camelus ferus unplaced genomic scaffold scaffold140, whole genome shotgun sequence.
GGUGGUAUAGCUCAGAGGCAGAAUGUGUGCUUAGCAUACAUGAGGUCUUGGGUUCAAUCCCCAGUACCUCCA